AUAAUUGGAAUAGGGGUUUUCAAGGGUGCGAGAGAAAAUGGAUACACACCAAAGAAAAACACGAUUGCAAGAUAUGUGGUACGAAUGUCAUCCUGGGCAUUCGGUUUACCCAAACCGAACCAAACGGUUCUUUGGUUUUUGUUAAAAUUUGGUACCCGGUAAAUAGGAACCGAUCAGUUCCUCGUAGAAAACAAGACUGGGUAGAUUCAGGUUUGGUUAAUUCGGUUUGAUCUUGGUUUCUAAUAAAAUUAACUGAUGUACAACGAACAAAAUCUAGAAAUCGCAAAGAGUGGGAGAUCUGGGGGAAGCACGGUUGCCACCGGAAGCUGGCCGCCUGCGCCCGCGCUGCCUGAGUGCUGC
rnacentral:lncRNA from 1 species